rnacentral:lncRNA from 1 species
GGGCGCACCUGACGCCGCACCGACCGCCAGCGCUCAGCCGGGGACUGGGCUGGGGACGUCUCCUCCCCCUUCUCCCUCUCCUUUCCCUCCUCCCUACAACCGGCCCUGCCCCCGGGCAUGCGCACCAACGUGGAAGGGGGUGCGGGAAGCCUGCGGGCCAGCGCCGCGAGUCCCACCUGCUGCGUCCUAGACCGGCUCCUCGUGUACAAUGUCUAUGUAAGCACAACAAGAAAGCAACUUAACUGCCUGCAGCAUCAGACCAAGUUCCUGGAUCAUAAGUUUGAAAGCAGCUUCUAGAUGACGCUUGUGGAUAUUUGGAAUAAUAUCUACUAAUUUCUGUUAAGCAGCUAUGUUUCAACUCCACUUCAAUAAAAACAGCCAAAUUUCUCUCCUGGAAAUUCUUAAAACUCAAAGAAACUCUGAUUCUUUCAAGUGUUAGUAUGAUGACCUAAUUUUGUGCCUAACUCCUCUUAUAUAGAAAGGAACAAAUAUUUGAUAUUCAUCUUCAUUGUUUUCUGUGGGUUGGUUUCCUGUUAUUUUUUCCCUUUGUCUAGGGGAAAGGAGUAAAGAAAACUUCCUUGUUAAACUGCUACUAUAAGGAACACGUUUGAAGAAAUAAACACAGAAAGCAAGUGAGUUU